UUCCUGCAAGCAAUAGCAUUGAUGUGAAAUCCUAGAAGAAUUUUUACUUUUCAUUUUCUCUACCUUCCUUUUAGAGCAGAAUGAUACUCAUCCUCCUAGAACUAGUUCAUUUCUUAGUUGUAAUAUUUAUGUUUGAAGACUUUUGUAUUGAAUGUAUUAAAACUUAUUAUAAUGUUUUAAAGAGUACACAAAUCUCAUUGAUAUGAAAACUGAAUAGAAGUAGUUGAAGUUUCAUGUUUACCAAACUUGUACUCACUUCUCAUCAGUACUAAAUAUAAAGCUACAGAAAGUCCUUGCUUAAGGUAGGAAGUCCAGGGAGUUCCUCUCAUGGAGGUGAUAUAUAAACGUGCUGUCCUCCAGUUGAGCUGGUUCCUUUUCACUACUGCAUUCAAUUUAGAGCAUUAUUUUUAUUGAAAUGGCAUUUUUAGAGCAGUAUCUGAAAUCUUCUUCCUAAAGGAACAUGCUUGUCCAAAUAAUGCACUGAACACCCGGAUGUUGAAAGACUGUCUCUAUUGGUUCUCUGGAAGAGGUCAAAAUGAAUCACCUGUGGAACAAGGCCUUGUUUUGCCUCACAGCUGUUACUUCUAGUAAAGGAGAAGAAGACAUUGAAAUAAUGUUACUGCUAAAUCCAUCCUUUCACUUCAGUUGCAAGCUUUCCUGUAUGUGAAGUUUAACUGCAGGGAGCUGGAUUAUGCAUCUUCAUGAACUACCUGACGUCUAUGUUGUCAGAAAAUAACUGUUGCCUGUUGGUGUACAUAUACAUAGUUUUGACCAUUACCCCAAGAACAUUAUUAGAUCUCAGAACCAUUAACUCAUGUAUAUUCUGUAGUCUGGGGUAAAUUAAUCUCAAAACUCAAACUUUUCUCUUAUAGAAUGGUAUUUCUACAAACUUUAUGCACUGUGUUACUUAGUGCUCACAAAACUGAAUGGAAAGUAAUUUAAAGUGUGCUCAUUUUAUGGAAUCAUUUAAAUGGUGGGAGUUUGAAUAAAGAGUUCUUCAUUGGCUUUGAUCCAAAUGUGUCAUAAGUAAUAUAUUUAGCAUAGCUUUCAAAAAUACAAAUAGGAGUUAAUUUAAUUAAAGCUCAUUCAGAAAUAAGAGGAUUGUGCUUGACCACCAGUAUUAUUUUUUUUUGAAAAAAAAAAACACUAAUGGAGAGAAUUUAAGUCUACCGUCUACCUAUCUGAAAGUACCGAUUAACAAUGCAGUAGGCAAAAAGACUGCAUGCAGAACUAUUAUGAAAAGUUUGCUUUGCAGAAUAUACUCAUAAGUAGAAAAUUUCUUUACCCAAUUGUUCCGGUCUCUGCUAAUAUCCAUUUGGACAGACCUUUCCUGGUCUUGGUGCUUUGCACAAGGUAGAUAUGACGAUUCAUGAGAAUAGUAGCAAUAACCGUAAAGUUGCUAGUACUAACUAGUAGUGAUAAUAAUACUAGGAGCCUGUCCUCUGUGUUGAUGUUUGUUUCUACUAAGCUACUUUUUUAAGCUAUGAGCUUUUUGUUUUGAUGAGUUCGGGCACUUUGAGUACUCCAGUAUGACACUUAACUGGAACAUAUCUAUUUUAUCUACUUGCAAACUGCUAUGUGACAAGCUGCAGAGGACCAAAUUACAAAUCUGAAGUAAACUAGUCUAGCUUCUUUGGUCCAUUGUGUUCUGAGAUUCAGAGACCCUGCUAUCUUUAGAGAACUUUAUAGCAUAAAGAGGCUUUAGGAAGAAUGAAAAGGGAGGAGGAAGGGGUGAACUUGAGCCCCUUUAGUUGGCAAAUCUUGAGAAGGGUUUGGUGAAACACUGUAAGAUCAUUCUAGGAAAGAAGAGUUUACAGUAAAUUUAGAGGGUAUAAAGGAAUUUUGCUUUAUUUAAAAUCCUCCAAAAUUUAGUUAAACUUGAAUUUGUUUCUGAAAGAGGGUUCACUGUAAGUUCCAACCAAUUAGCUGGAUGAAAAGAAAUUUGAACAGCUUUGUUUGCAAAGGGAAUUUUCAGAUUUAUUUUUUUUCCCUUCAUUGUUUUUAAACAGACACUGAAGUAUUUUGGCACAGCUACAUUCCUUGUAUUCAUUAUCACUCUUUCUCUUUUCUUACUAGUAAAUACUAGUAAUUACUUCUCAUAUUAGUAAAUGUAAACCAAGACAUUUUUAGCCUCCGUGCUUUUCAUUCAGGUUUUCAAACAGUGACAGUGACUAAAACAGUUCCGUCAGUCUCUCAAGAGGG